GUGGUUGUGCGAGCCCCUUUCAUCCCGGGAGCUCUCAAAAGGCAUUUGCAAAUGUUUAUAGGGGCAGCUUUUCUGCACGCACCAGCCCUCCAAGCGGGUGAGCAGCCCCGCAGGGCGCUCAUCCCGCCCCAAGAGGUCCCCAGGAAAGCCUGGGAAGCCAGACAGGUUUGUGGGGAGGUUUUCAUCAGCCCGCUGCAGCACACAGCAAACUCUAUUUCUGCUGUGUAUGCUGCCUUUAUAUAAAAUAUCAAUUCAGGGUCUGAGGGCAUGGUGGCUGAAAGCCCGGCUGGGUUUUGGGACCAAAAUGCAAACUCUACCUCUCUCGCAGGGCUCUCCUUGCAGGAGGAGGAGAAGUGAAUGGCCUGCACGCAACAGAUGUUUCCCAUGUCCCUGAAAGCUGUACUCGAAAGUGCUUAGUUACUAUGGUGCUGGAGGUGGCAUUAGACUUUACACAGGCCGAAAGAGCGGUCUGUGAAAGUGGGCGACUUCAUCUGUCAUUGAAAGCCCCGGAGUAGCUGGCUAUCCGCACGUCCCUCCCUUCAAGGAGAAACGCUUCUGCCACAGAGGUUUGGGGUUUGUGCAAUCUCUGAUCAUUUUAUGGACACACUGGAGCUGUAGAAAACAAGAUGGGCUUGCUUGCCACCCCCCUUGAAGACUGACCCCAAAUAAAAAGAAAAAUAACAGGGAGACACUAAGGCCCAAAGAGAGUUAAAUAUGCAAAGAGGGGGGGAAACUGUUUUAUUUAAAAGGUUUUAACAUGAAAAAGUAUAUGCAGAAUUGUUGUAGAAUUAUAAUAAUAAUAAAAAUAGUUCUAUUAUAGACUAUAUAAUUAAAUAAACAACACUCAGAGACAAAAUCACCGAAAUGGAGUUUUAGCACAUGGAAUAUUUUUCUGGCUCUGCACCAGGGCAGCACGAAUUAUUUGCCAGGGCAGAAACCUCCUUGCAAGCUCCAUGGUGGGGCUGGCAGCCCCCGGCCCUUUCGUCACGGGGACCACACUGUGAGCCCAUCGCCCGGCAGUGUGUGGGGUGCCAGGAGAUGCUGGCUGCUGAAACGGCAUCUGGAUUGUUUCUCCGUGUUAGCCUGGCCUCAACUUGUUUGUAAACCACGCUCACCCCUGCAGGUUGGGGAGUGGAGAGACAAAGUCGGAAGCAAAACCACUGCAAUGCCUCUUAUUCAGAGUGGGAAAGGCAGGGAGUCUGGGAGCUGUUCUCUACAGGCAGAAACACGGAGACUGGAUAUGCACAGACUGUGGCAGUGCUUCCUAAAAUACUCGCAUGUGCCAAGCGAUGGGAAGUCCCACUGGAAAUACUCACAGGCUGAAGUUACGCCGGCGAGGAGCUGGGGAAAAGCAGUGCUGGAAGCAUUUCUCCCUCCCCUAUAUAAGAGGGAAUGAUUACAGGAAUAGUACAGCAAUUAAAUAUGCAAGCACAUAAAAUGCUGUCUAUUUAUUGUAUAUGUCUACUCUACCACAAGUUUUUAUGUCAUGUCAAAGUAAAGGUAUAGUGUGAAAUCCUGGCUGUUGGGGCAUCAGUGGUAAAAUUCCCACUGGUCUGCAUAAAAGCUUUUCGCCCACUGUUUCCACUGGGAAUCAAACUGCCUAUUCAGAGUGCAGCCAGAGAAAAUAGCAGUAUUUAGACCAUCUGGGGACAGAAAAUGAGGCCUGUUACCUAGCUGGGUGGUUCUCCUGGCCACCACCAUGCAGGAGCAGGAGGAGAGAAGACAGUGGGCAGCGUGGUGGCUAAAGCCACGCAGGCAGAGGGGGAAAGUACCCCUUAUAAAGACAUUUUCUGAUGAUUUUUUUAGGAAACCUUCUGGUAAUCCCCAGUCAAUCUGCAUGCUAAUAGAGGUCAUUUACCAAAGCAGAAUACUGGGAAAAGCUUUGCAUAAUAAGAACGUUAGUUUGAUUUGAUACUAAAACUUUUCUACUGCUCAAUCAAAGCCAAAGCUGAAUUUCUGGAAGAAAAAAAAAAUGGCAUUGAAUGCAGAAGUGAAACUGGACACAGUUUAAGUGAGCUCUUUUUGAUCAAUUAGACCUUUCUGUGAUGUCAUCUUUAUUACUUAUUCUAAUGAGAUGGGUGUUGUAAAAAGGAUUGGGGAGUGAAAUCCAUUGAUAAUCUCCUUAGCGCUGUGGAUAAUAUACAAGGUUUCUCCCCCACAUUGAGAGCCCUAAGCUGUUCUAAUAUACUUUAAGACUUCUCAGUAUCUCCCUAUUCUUACAGGAAGAUGAUUUUCCUUUUUAUGAUGGGAUGUAGAUUUGUUCACUCGCUCUGAAUAAUUCUGUCAGAGAUUUACAGCUGCACUUAGUCGUUUUUAUUCACUGCUCUACUUUUUGUGCACAAAAGCCAUGGUUUAACCCCAGAUAAAUGCUAUCUGCUGCAGGGCUUUUUGAGUGUGCUAAAGACGUAGAAGCUAGUGCAGCUGCAAACUUCCUUCUCAAGCCUCAGAGCUACAUUAAACUAAUUUAAGUACCUAGGCAAAUAUGCUGAAUCUCCUCUGCCGAAGACCAUUUAGGAGGAGAAUGGAAUCUCUGGUUGAGUAUUUGCACAGCACUUCCUCAGUCUGAAGCAAGUGUUCAAGAUUAUAAUCAGGCUGUGUUAGCCACCACUUGGAUCUCUCUGUAUUUCAAGAGAUGCAUAACAAAGUGAUAAAAGCACUAAAAGAAGCAAAUUCAUGGCUCUUGGAUUGGGAUGUCUUUACCCUUCAGGCUGACAUCAGACCUUCCCAUGUGCAAACAGGAAAGAGAAAUCUAGCAAAGUUUCAAAACUAUCUAGAAAUCAGCAAGCAAACUAAGGCAGACUUGCAUGAAAUAAAG
rnacentral:lncRNA from 1 species